AAGGGAGCUUGACUGCGAGACCUACAAGUCGAGCAGGGACGAAAGUCGGGCUUAGUGAUCCGGUGGUUCCGCAUGGAAGGGCCAUCGCUCAACGGAUAAAAGCUACCCCGGGGAUAACAGGCUUAUCUCCCCCAAGAGUCCACAUCGACGGGGAGGUUUGGCACCUCGAUGUCGGCUCAUCGCAUCCUGGGGCUGUAGUCGGUCCCAAGGGUUGGGCUGUUCGCCCAUUAAAGCGGUACGCGAGCUGGGUUCAGAACGUCGUGAGACAGUUCGGUCCCUAUCCGUCGUGGGCGCAGGAAAUUUGAGAGGAGCUGUCCUUAGUACGAGAGGACCGGGAUGGACGCACCGCUGGUGUACCAGUUGUCUUGCCAAAGGCAUCGCUGGGUAGCUAUGUGCGGACGGGAUAAGUGCUGAAAGCAUCUAAGCAUGAAGCCCCCCUCAAGAUGAGAUUUCCCAUAGCGUCAAGCUAGUAAGAUCCCUGAAAGAUGAUCAGGUUGAUAGGUCAGAGGUGGAAGCACGGUGACGUGUGGAGCUGACUGAUACUAAUCGAUCGAGGACUUAACCUAAUU
rnacentral:rRNA from 2 species